UGCAGUCGAGCGAACCGACGGGAGCUUGCUCCCUUAGGUUAGCGGCGGACGGGUGAGUAACACGUGGGUAACCUGCCUGUAAGACUGGGAUAACUCCGGGAAACCGGGGCUAAUACCGGAUGCUUGAUUGAACCGCAUGGUUCAAUUAUAAAAGGUGGCUUUUAGCUACCACUUACAGAUGGACCCGCGGCGCAUUAGCUAGUUGGUGAGGUAACGGCUCACCAAGGCGACGAUGCGUAGCCGACCUGAGAGGGUGAUCGGCCACACUGGGACUGAGACACGGCCCAGACUCCUACGGGAGGCAGCAGUAGGGAAUCUUCCGCAAUGGACGAAAGUCUGACGGAGCAACGCCGCGUGAGUGAUGAAGGUUUUCGGAUCGUAAAACUCUGUUGUUAGGGAAGAACAAGUACCGUUCGAACAGGGCGGUACCUUGACGGUACCUAACCAGAAAGCCACGGCUAACUACGUGCCAGCAGCCGCGGUAAUACGUAGGUGGCAAGCGUUGUCCGGAAUUAUUGGGCGUAAAGCGCGCGCAGGCGGUUUCUUAAGUCUGAUGUGAAAGCCCCCGGCUCAACCGGGGAGGGUCAUUGGAAACUGGGGAACUUGAGUGCAGAAGAGGAGAGUGGAAUUCCACGUGUAGCGGUGAAAUGCGUAGAGAUGUGGAGGAACACCAGUGGCGAAGGCGACUCUCUGGUCUGUAACUGACGCUGAGGCGCGAAAGCGUGGGGAGCGAACAGGAUUAGAUACCCUGGUAGUCCACGCCGUAAACGAUGAGUGCUAAGUGUUAGAGGGUUUCCGCCCUUUAGUGCUGCAGCAAACGCAUUAAGCACUCCGCCUGGGGAGUACGGUCGCAAGACUGAAACUCAAAGGAAUUGACGGGGGCCCGCACAAGCGGUGGAGCAUGUGGUUUAAUUCGAAGCAACGCGAAGAACCUUACCAGGUCUUGACAUCCUCUGACACCCCUAGAGAUAGGGCUUCCCCUUCGGGGGCAGAGUGACAGGUGGUGCAUGGUUGUCGUCAGCUCGUGUCGUGAGAUGUUGGGUUAAGUCCCGCAACGAGCGCAACCCUUGAUCUUAGUUGCCAGCAUUCAGUUGGGCACUCUAAGGUGACUGCCGGUGACAAACCGGAGGAAGGUGGGGAUGACGUCAAAUCAUCAUGCCCCUUAUGACCUGGGCUACACACGUGCUACAAUGGGCAGAACAAAGGGCAGCGAAGCCGCGAGGCUAAGCCAAUCCCACAAAUCUGCUCUCAGUUCGGAUCGCAGUCUGCAACUCGACUGCGUGAAGCUGGAAUCGCUAGUAAUCGCG
rnacentral:rRNA from 1 species